rnacentral:rRNA from 1 species
GACGAACGCUGGCGGCGUGCCUAAUACAUGCAAGUAGAACGCUGAAGGAGGAGCUUGCUUCUCCGGAUGAGUUGCGAACGGGUGAGUAACGCGUAGGUAACCUGCCUGGUAGCGGGGGAUAACUAUUGGAAACGAUAGCUAAUACCGCAUAACAGUAGAUAUCGCAUGAUAUCUGCUUGAAAGGUGCAAUUGCAUCACUACCAGAUGGACCUGCGUUGUAUUAGCUAGUUGGUGUGGUAACGGCUCACCAAGGCGACGAUACAUAGCCGACCUGAGAGGGGGGUCGGCCACACUGGGACGGAGACACGGCCCAGACUCCUACGGGAGGCAGCAGUAGGGAAUCUUCGGCAAUGGGCGGAAGUCUGACCGAGCAACGCCGCGUGAGGGAAGAAGGGUUUCGGAUCGUAAAGCUCUGUUGUAAGAGAGGAACGAGUGUGAGAGUGGAAAGUUCACACUGUGACGGUAUCUGACCAGAAAGGGACGGCUAACUACGUG